GGAAUCUUGGUCAAUUGGCGAAAGCCAGAACCAGUCAUGCCGCGUGCAGGAUGAAGGCCCUACGGGUCGUAAACUGCUUUUAUUCGGGAAGAAAAAGUCUGUUUCCACAGAUCUUGACGGUACCGAUUGAAUAAGGACCGGCCAACUCCGUGCCAGCAGCCGCGGUAAUACGGAGGGUCCAAGCGUUAUCCGGAUUCACUGGGUUUAAAGGGUGCGCAGGCGGCUAAGUAAGUCAGUGGUGAAAGCCUUCGGCUCAACCGGAGAAUUGCCAUUGAAACUACUUAGCUUGAGUGCAGUAGAGGUAGGCGGAAUGUAGCAUGUAGCGGUGAAAUGCAUAGAUAUGCUACAGAACACCGAUAGCGAAAGCAGCUUACCACACUGUAACUGACGCUGAGGCACGAAAGCAUGGGUAGCAAACAGGAUUAGAUACCC
rnacentral:rRNA from 1 species